rnacentral:rRNA from 1 species
UGAGUACGAGACGCUAAGGCGUCGAAGUAGUGGAUGUCAUACUUCCAAGAAAAGCUUGCACUGUCAUAGAUAAAAAACGCCUGUACCAUAACCGACACAGGUGGGUAGGUAGAGUAUACUAAGGGGCGCGAGAUAACUCCCUCUAAGGAACUCGGCAAAAUGACUCCGUAACUUCGGGAGAAGGAGUGCCUUAUUCGUAAGGCUGCAAUAACAAGAUCCAAGCAACUGUUUAUCAAAAACACAGGUCUCCGCUAAGUCGUAAGACGAUGUAUGGGGGCUGACGCCUGCCCAGUGCCAGAAGGUUAAAGAAGUCGGUUAGCAUUAGCGAAGCUGGUAACUGAAGCCCUGGUGAACGGCGGCCGUAACAAUAACGGUCCUAAGGUAGCGAAAUUCCUUGUCGGGUAAGUUCCGACCCGCACGAAAGGCGUAAUGAUUUGGAUACUGUCUCGGAGAGGGGCUCGGUGAAAUAGACUUGUCUGUGAAGAUGCGGACUACCUGCACCAGGACAGAAAGACCCUAUGAAGCUUUACUGUAACUUGAAAUUGAAAUUGGACUUUAUUCGCGCAGUAUAGGUGGGAGGUGUUGAUUAUAAUCUUGCGGGAUUAUUGGAGCCAUCAGUGAGAUACCACUCUUGUAAUGUUAGAUUUCUAACUUUGAAUCAUUAUCUGGUCAAAGAACAGUUUCAGGCGGGCAGUUUGACUGGGGCGGUCGCCUCCUAAAUGGUAACGGAGGCGUACAAAGGUUUCCUCUGAACGGGUAGAAAUCGUAUCUAGAGUGUAAAGGCAUAAGGAAGCUUGACUGUGAGACCUACAAGUCGAGCAGGGACGAAAGUCGGUCUUAGUGAUCUGACGGUACUGAGUGGAAAGGCCGUCACUCAACGGAUAAAAGUUACUCUAGGGACAGGCUGAUCUCCCCCAAGAGUUCACAUCGACGGGGAGGUUUGGCACCUCGAUGUCGGCUCAUCGCAUCCUGGGGCGGUAGUACGUCCCAAGGGUUGGGCUGUUCGCCCAUGAAAGCGGUACGCGAGCUGGGUUCAGAACGUCGUGAGACAGUUCGGUCCAUAUCCGGUGUAGGCGUUAGAAUAUUGAGAGGAGCCUUCUUUAGUACGAGAGGACCGAGAAGGACAUACCUCUGGUGUACCAGUUAUCGUGCCAACGGUAAACGCUGGGUAGCUAUGUAUGGAGUGGAUAACCGCUGAAAGCAUCUAAGUGGGAAGCCCACCUCAAGAUAAGUAUUCUCAC